GGGUUGUGAGGUUAAGCGACUAAGCGUACACGGUGGAUGCCCUGGCAGUCAGAGGCGAUGAAGGGCGUGCUAAUCUGCGAUAAGCGCCGGUAAGGUGAUAUGAACCGUUAUAACCGGCGAUACCCGAAUGGGGAAACCCAGUGUGAUUCGUCACACUAUCAUUAACUGAAUCCAUAGGUUAAUGAGGCGAACCGGGGGAACUGAAACAUCUAAGUACCCCGAGGAAAAGAAAUCAACCGAGAUUCCCCCAGUAGCGGCGAGCGAACGGGGAGGAGCCCAGAGCCUGAAUCAGCAUGUGUGUUAGUGGAAGCGUCUGGAAAGGCGCGCGAUACAGGGUGACAGCCCCGUACACAAAAGCGUAUGUGCUGUGAGCUCGAUGAGUAGGGCGGGACACGUGGUAUCCUGUCUGAAUAUGGGGGGACCAUCCUCCAAGGCUAAAUACUCCUGACUGACCGAUAGUGAACCAGUACCGUGAGGGAAAGGCGAAAAGAACCCCGGCGAGGGGAGUGAAAAAGAACCUGAAACCGUGUACGUACAAGCAGUGGGAGCACCCUUUGGGGUGUGACUGCGUACCUUUUGUAUAAUGGGUCAGCGACUUAUAUUCUGUAGCAAGGUUAACCGAAUAGGGGAGCCGGAGGGAAACCGAGUCUUAAUUGGGCGUUAAGUUGCAGGGUAUAGACCCGAAACCCGGUGAUCUAGCCAUGGGCAGGUUGAAGGUUGGGUAACACUAACUGGAGGACCGAACCGACUAAUGUUGAAAAAUUAGCGGAUGACCUGUGGCUGGGGGUGAAAGGCCAAUCAAACCGG
rnacentral:rRNA from 1 species